GAGUUUGAUCGUGGCUCAGGAUGAACGCUGGCGGCGUGCCUAACACAUGCAAGUCGAGCGAUCUUCUUCGGAAGAGAGCGGCGGACGGGUGAGUAACGCGUGGGUAACCUGCCUCAUACACAUGGAUAACAUACCGAAAGGUAUGCUAAUACAAGAUGAUAUAAGAGAUUCGCAUGGAUUUCUAUCAAAGCUCCGGCGGUAUGAGAUGGACCCGCGUCUGAUUAGCUAGUUGGUAAGGUAAUGGCUUACCAAGGCGACGAUCAGUAGCCGACC
rnacentral:rRNA from 1 species